rnacentral:lncRNA from 1 species
GGUGAUGUAAUAUUAGGAGCCAGGGUCUUUGGGAAGUGAUAAUGAUUUAGAUGAUGUCAUGAGGGUGGAGGCCCACGAAUGGGCUUAGGCUCUUUAUAAGAUUCCUCCAGAGAGUUUCUUCCUCCAUCGACAAUGUGAAGAUAUAAUGAAGACUGUGAAACAGGAAGCCAGCCCUCACCUGACAGCAAGCCUGCCAUGCCUUGAUCUCACGGUUCCCAGCCUUUCAAAAUGAGGUGAGGUGCUCAUGCAGCAAGAUCACACAGAGACCAACUGCAUGAGCAUCCACUACAGACAAGGAGUUCAUGUCGUUAGUCUUACUUCAUUUCUAACAGUUUGCACAUCCUCUGGGCAUGCUGAGGGGAAGCCAAAACCUCCGCAAUGGUGCUUGGAAUGAAGUAAACCAUCUAAGGGAAUCAUCUUUUAUAGCAGCUGAAGAUUUGAGGUGGUGAUCAGUAUUCAUUUCAAACCCACAUCAUUAAGACCACAAGUGGAGCAUCGUUUACCCGGGUUAACAGAAAACAGCAAGGAUAACACAGUGUCACGUCUGCCAACACUGUCCAUCUUGAAGUCUCUCUUUGGGUACCAGACACUUUUGUAUAUAACUUAAAGAAGCAAGGCAAGUGAAUUAAACAAUGCCACUGAAUAUGAAGGAAAA